UUGUCUCUGGUAAUUUGUAACACAGUUACAGCACUCGUUUGAGGCAGAAAGGAAUGGGACUUGGAGGUCUAGGGCACUUGAGGUCGUGGUGUCUCUAGGAGGAUUUGAAAUGAACCUGUAGCUCUAUUGCUUCAUAACACCUUUUAGGUGUUAUUAGUCCUCCUGAUGGGUUCUGUAGACAGCAGAAGUGUGCAGGGAGAGUCUUCAAGGCAUUCUGCUAUAUCUUUGAAACAGGAAGAGCACAGUCAGACACAGCAUUUGUAAAAGGAGCCCAGACAAAUGAACAGGAGGCAUUCUGAUCCCAGGUAAGGCCAGGGCUUUUCUUUAUUUGUCUUGCUUAUUAUUCUACCACCUCAAAUGUUACGGUUAUUUCUGUCACACAAAACAGAACCUGAAACACUUUAAGAGCAGCAUCAGUGCUUUCCCAGAAG
rnacentral:lncRNA from 1 species